GUGCCGCCCCUGCUCUCGCGCUCCCCCUGCCCUCCUCCCCCACGCCGCCUCCUGCUUGCGCCGCCAUCCACCAGCGAUUCCCCGUCCCCGCCGCGUCGGCCGCCCGACGGCUACCCCCGACUCGCCGACCACCCGACCGCCAUGUCCGCGUCGUGCGCCACCAAGCGCGCCACGCGGACCGCAACCAGAAACCGCUGCUGCUCCCCUCUCGACUGCCACCGCUCCUUGGGUUCCUCUUCUUCGCUGCCUCGCUCUCGCCCUGUUCGCCUGCGUUGCGCCUCGGCGGCGGCUGACGGCAGAGCCCGGGGCGGCGAAGGCGGUGGCACCUGCCGGCCACGAGGCCCGGGACGGGGGAGGCAACCGCUGCGGCGGAUCCGGCCGAGGCGGCGACAUAUCCUGCUGGAGGGACAAUGGAUCUGGGAGCUAGCGGUGGUUCCUGGACGCGACGACCUCGGCCGGAGCUUCCUCAUGACGGCGACCGCGGGCGAAGUUUCCUGCCGGCGACAGGGCCCGGGACAGUGGAUCCGGCCGGCCCGGCGAUGGAUCUGGGAGCUAGCGGGCAUCGUCUUCCUCGUCGCCUCGCUCCAGCCCUGUCCGGGUCAGGUGCGCAUCCUCCGGUCCGCCUCUCCGUGGUUGGUGCUGCUGCCGCAGGCCUCCGGGCUGCCGCCGAUCUACCCACCGGAUGUCGGUUGCUGUCCACUACCCGACGUUUCCCACCGCCUCCCUCCAGCCUGCUUCCCCGUGGUGCGCCUCUUCCAGCACUGGUCCCUGCGCGUGGCUCUGCUGCCGUACGUGCCCAGCCUGAUGAACAUCUGCAUGAUGAAAUUGGUCAGAGGCUGUGUUUGCCAUUUGCAUUGACCUGCUCCGGCGAUGGGGAGGCGGCCAUGGGAUUUUUUCGUUGGGCCAAAGUAAUAGGCCAAUCAGGUGUCCAGCUUGCAUAAACUACAAGCCCCAUUAUGAGAAGGCUGCGAAACUAUUCAAUGGACGGGAUGCUGCAUCCAGGGAUUAUACUGAUGGCAAGGUUGAUUCUGCAUCAAAGGUGGACAUCGAUCUUUGCAAUAGAUUCUCAGUUGACCAUUACCUUUUCCUACUUCAGGGUUCAGAAUAAGAUUUGCUUCUGCUAAGUUGGACUCUAAGCAAGAGAAUAGCGACAUAAAAUUAAUUGAUCAUGGAACAACAGCAUAGCAUUUACUUAAGUGGAUAAAUAAUCGGAUGAAAAGGUAAGUUGUUUUCUUGGCCUUUUCUGCUCUCCGUAAAUGUUCAGUACAUAUGGAACCACUAGCUACCUGUACUAUUCUAAUGCCUCCCUAUUAACCGUGGUUGUUUUGAAAUAUCUUGGUAAGAACAUGUAUAUAAGGAUUUUAUUCAUAAAUUAUUUUUCGUUCGUAACUGUGGAUUUUUCCUUUAAAAGACAAAACCCCCUAGGUUUUCUUAUGCCAAAUUCCGCCAAAUACACAAAUGAAACCCAACCAUACAUGUCCCCCAAUUAUAUCUUCUAAAUCAUCCACACUAACAAUCCAACCCUCUCCCCCAAAAGGGGAUUUUAGUAAAUAGGUUUACCAGUUUACAGAAGGUAACACCACAAAAGCAUCACAUUUAAGAACACACAUAUAAGAUAGUGAAUUGACAUUUGGAAAUACGAUGCACCAUUUGUUGUGUUUACAGCACCAGAAUAUAUUCAUUCCAAAAUUAAAGUUUCGCAGCGAAACCUUUGGGCAAAUCACGGUCUUCAGUUCAGCCUCCCAGUUUGUGUUCUUGUUGGGCUCAUUGGCCCUGAUUGGUGAACAGCCCUGGUCUCACCGUUCAAACAUACAUUUUGGAGCAAGAGAUCUCGGCGUGGACACGUCAUCAGUUUUUUUUGGGCCGUCCGAUCGGAGAUGGAUGGAUGGAUGGGGGGCAGGCUGUGCGUCGCCACGUCUCGAUCGGUGGCUUCACGUUGCGCGCUCCCAAGCGUGCCAUGCUCUCGCCCUGUUCGCCUGCGUUGCGCCUCGGCAGUGGCCCUAAUAAUGCGAUGAAUUUUCCCCCGCUUGUACGAUCAUCGCCUUUGAUAUGAAGGCAAGAUAAACCUCCUUUAUCAUCUGUUCUUUUCUUCUGCAUCUUACAUUUCACUCAAGGUUUUAAUACUAAAUGCAAGAUCUUAA